ACGCGAGGAACCUUACCAGGUCUUGACAUCCCUCUGACCGGUAUAGAGAUAUACCUUUCCUUCGGGACAGAGGAGACAGGUGGUGCAUGGUUGUCGUCAGCUCGUGUCGUGAGAUGUUGGGUUAAGUCCCGCAACGAGCGCAACCCUUGAUCUUAGUUGCCAGCAGGUAAGGCUGGGCACUCUAAGGUGACUGCCGGUGACAAACCGGAGGAAGGUGGGGAUGACGUCAAAUCAUCAUGCCCCUUAUGACCUGGGCUACACACGUACUACAAUGGCCAGUACAACGGGAAGCGAAGCCGCGAGGUGGAGCGAAUCCUAAAAAGCUGGUCUCAGUUCGGAUUGCAGGCUGCAACUCGCCUGCAUGAAGUCGGAAUUGCUAGUAAUCGCGGAUCAGCAUGCCGCGGUGAAUACGUUCCCGGGUCUUGCACACACCGCCCGU
rnacentral:rRNA from 1 species